rnacentral:rRNA from 1 species
UACGUAGGGUGCAAGCGUUGUCCGGAAUUAUUGGGCGUAAAGAGCUCGUAGGCGGUUUGUUGCGUCGGCUGUGAAAUCCCGAGGCUCAACCUCGGGUCUGCAGUCGAUACGAGCAAACUAGAGUGUUGCAGGGGAGACUGGAAUUCCUGGUGUAGCGGUGAAAUGCGCAGAUAUCAGGAGGAACACCGGUGGCGAAGGCGGGUCUCUGGGCCGACACUGACGCUGAGGAGCGAAAGCGUGGGGAGCGAACAGG